UUAGCGGCGGACGGGUGAGUAACACGUAGGCAACCUGCCUGCAAGACCGGGAUAACAUUCGGAAACGAAUGCUAAUACCGGAUACGCAGUUUCCUCGCAUGGGGAGACUGGGAAAGACGGCGCAAGCUGUCACUUGCAGAUGGGCCUGCGGUGCAUUAGCUAGUUGGCGAGGUAACGGCUCACCAAGGCGACGAUGCAUAGCCGACCUGAGAGGGUGAUCGGCCACACUGGGACUGAGACACGGCCCAGACUCCUACGGGAGGCAGCAGUAGGGAAUCUUCCGCAAUGGACGAAAGUCUGACGGAGCAACGCCGCGUGAGUGAUGAAGGUUCUCGGAUCGUAAAGCUCUGUUGCCAGGGAAGAACA
rnacentral:rRNA from 1 species